rnacentral:RNase_P_RNA from 1 species
GGAGACGGCCAGACAGUCGCCGCCAGCGCAAGCUGGGGGAGGAAAGUCCGGGCUCCAUAGGGCAAGGUGCCAGAUAACGUCUGGGCGGCGCGAGCCGACGGCAAGUGCAGCAGAGAGAAGACCGCCUACGUCAGCUUCGGCUGACCGGUAAGGGUGAAAGGGUGCGGUAAGAGCGCACCGCGCGGCUGGUAACAGUUCGCGGCGAGGUAAACCCCACCUGGAGCAAGACCAAAUAGGCCCCUAUGCUGCUGCCCGCAGUGGGGGCGGGUUGGUUGCUUGAGCCCUGAAGUGAUUCAGGGCCUAGAUGAAUGACUGUCCACGACAAGACCCGGCUUAUCGGCCAUCUCCCGCC